rnacentral:lncRNA from 10 species
CAGUUUACGAGGAUGUUGUGGUCUUGGCAGUUUGGCACAGUUGGAAGGUUUGAGACAAGUUCCUGUUAUUUUGCAAGGUUUCAGAUCAUCAUUGUCUGACAAAGGAACCCGCUUCUCAGCACAAGUGAAUCAAUAAGCUGAAGCCCAUGGAAUCUGUUACCAUGUACCUCAUCUCUCAGAAGUCACUGCCUCUAGAACGGUAGAAAGUGCUCUGAAACUUCAUUAUGGUACCUCCUGGGAUUCACUGCUUUGAGAAGGUGGAGUACUGUCAUAGAGGGUGUGGUAUGUGUUCUGAACCAAUGACUACUGUGAUUUAUCUCCCUCCUACCCAGACUGCUUGGAUUCAGAUACUGAACAGUAAAAACAAACAUGGUUCCUCUCACUGUAACAGCAAAAGUCCUUAUAACUUGACUUCUUUUCUUGGGUUUCUGGGUUCUGCUAGUUCAGAGGCCUUACUAACUUAAGGAGGAAUGCUUCCAAGAAACAUAAUUUUAUCAUUGAAGUGGGAGUAGAGAUAGACCCUGGUCAUUUGCGUCUAACCCUUUGAACAGACAAGUAAAGGGAGCAUUACAAUGUUGGCUGGGUCGACCAUGUCAAAGAUGAGAUCAUCUUAACGCAAUAGAGGGAGUGAGAAUAGAAAAUCCAGGGAACUCCCAUGUAAACCUCCUGAUAUUCAGGAAUAGAUUAGAUGAUAGCAGCCUUACACUGGCAGUGCUCCAAUGGAUAUAUUUACAUCAGUGACAAGUUUGGAUCAUUCCAUCAUCUAAAUAAUCCAAUCAGCUAGUUUGAUUAAGCGAAAUGAAACAAAUGACAGUGGCCUCAUAAUUGUUAUAAUAAAAGGUCUUUAAUCUGCAUUUAUCUUUCUUGUGACUAGUGUUUACCUCUGCUUUAUGAAAGGUAGAAUGCAUAUUCUUGUCCACAGGUCACAGGACAGGAUUAGGAUAGACCUAAAAACAGAAUGAGCAUCACCUGAUACUAGAUUAGAAUGGAAGACAGCAAAUUUGUGGUGUGAUGGGGGAGCAGGAGAUUGGUGUGUAUCUGAGUAGCAUCACUUCUUGAAGUAUAGGAAGAAUAGAUAUUAGGUAAAAAGAAGAGUGGACUGUAGUGAACAUCUAGUUUUCUUCUUGUUGUGGACUUAAAUAUUCCCUCUGGGUAUCUCCUUUCCAUGCAAGCAUAUAAGUCUUGGUAGGAGUCAGUGUCUUCCUACCAUAGAAACAAAUUAUUUUAAAAAUUGCUUUGGCUGGUCUUAAAGCUCAUGCUUAGGGGAGGGCAGUAGUAGGAUCUUCAAGCUGUUUUGGAUCGUGACUUGUGGGUGUUUCUGGCUGAGCCUUGCUCUCUAGUUCUGAGUGAUUCCCUGGGAUAUAUACUCCUUAAACACCUUUUCUGUUCAAAUCACAUGAAGUCUAUUUCGGACACAGCCACUGGGUGAAAACAUUUAAGAUACCCUUGGAUACAUGUUAUCUGGCCUUGAUUAAGCUGCUGUCUCAUUCUCCAGAUGCACUGGAGGCCCAGUCUGCCCCCUUAAGUUUAUACCCUCAUCUUAAAAGCUGGC